UAGUUUAUUUCAAUUUUUAAAUCUAUUUCUGGCAAUUUUAAUGUUAUUAAGCUCCUAGUGGUUUUUCUAGGAGCAAAUACCAGUAGCAUUCUGUUCUUCAUCAGAUUAGUCAAAAGCAAUUCCCAAAAGAUUGUAUUUUCCUAGAACUUUGUUGGGAUGUCAACAUGGUUUCUUGUACAGAAUUCUUAAAGCAAGUUUUAUUUGUUUCUUUCAGAACCAGAGAGUGAGUUUGAACUUGGGGAAGAUAAAACCAUUCACUUCUUUUUUAAACCCAUUUAUUGUGGGCAGAGUUGAGAAACCUUUGGCACUAUCAAAAUUAAUUUAUUAGUAUUCUUUGUCACUAAAAAACAAUCUAGUAACUCAAUGCCAUUGUAAACUAAUUUCAAUAAUUGAGAGAUCUUCCACAUCCUGGGUCUCACUCAAAGAA